rnacentral:sRNA from 1 species
UUAUGCAUAAAAACCGGUCAAUUAACACCUCUCUCAGCUUUUAUCUUUAGAUAGAUCCCAUCUUCUCUUGCUCUCCAAUCCCAUACGCCUCCAUCAUCUGAAGCACUGUAAAGUUUAAAUGCUGUAAAGUUUUGAUGGUGUCUAUAAUUAGGCCCUUGUCUCAAGGUACACAUGAAACGAGUCGUAGCAAAUAUGUUGGUACCAAAAUAAUUGAACCUAUGCCCUCCGAUCGGUAUUAUUAAUGGACCUAUAACGUCAUCUUUGGAAUAACAUCUCAUCCAUAAGAG